CCUCUCUCUGAAACGGGUCUUACUGUCGAGCCAGCCAUCCGGCCUACUCUUUUCUAUCAUGAAGAUGCUUGUAGGUUUAUCUCAGUCUGGAUUCAGAAACAGAGGGGAAGAGGCUACAGCUCCACGGGAACAGGAGCCACAGUCCUGGCCACGGUGACGUCACCGGGCUCAGGGCCCAGCACCCGGCAGGCCCGCACUGAUACUCGCCCAGAAACUAGCAUUUGAAGGAGGACCUAUUACCUUUCCACCUAAUUUCAAAUGGAAUUUGAUCAAGUUUACUUACGGAGUCACUUCCUGGUUAUACACUGCACACUCCUCCUUGAGAGUGUUCCUUCGUGUAACAGAGAUGAAACACUGCCAUGCAUACGGCACGCUGCCUGAAGGAAUAUGCUCUGAAUACCCGCGGUGGACAUUUCCUGUUUGUCCCCUGAGCGCCCAUUCUCUAGUCUCCGAGCAACGGAACCGGUCUGAGAACCCAUCCCUCCUGCCCCACUCUCAGUCCCCAUCGAAGCUGGGCUGGGAGCAGGGCUUGACCCCUCUAGGUGGGUGCAUACGACACCGAUGGCACUGGCCUGGCCGUCAAAGCCCUGCACCCUGGACCAGUGCACCAAUUCUUUCUGGGUUGAUCUAAGCUGGUUUGAGUGGGUCUCAGGACUUCUGAACCAGCCAGUGACCUGAGAGCAGCUCUUUCCUGCUGAGUCUCAGGGCAGGUGUGAGGCUAAAAAACAGCUGCAUCUAACUAACCACCAUUUUAUUGCCAUUUGGAGGAGGUAGAGCUGAGAACCGAAGAAAAAUCAAGUGCUGGCAAUAUCUGGAUGAAUGAAUAGUGCUGUAACUGCAGCCAGAAUUACCCUGGACUUCUUAGCCAAUGAAAGUUCCUCUUUCGAUUACCCUUUCAGCUGGCGUCCGCGUCACUUGAAAGGAUGGUGACUGAUACCACCCUUUGUAUUUUCUCUCCUCCUUCCUCCCCUUCCUUCUUUGACAAUUUCACAUUAAAAAUCUACCUGCCUCUGAUUGCUUUCAUUCCCUAAUUUAUUUUAUUUAUUGCUGCCUGCCUAAUUUUCCCCAACACUGCUUUUCAAAUAUUUCUGCUCAAAAAUCACCUAUCACUCCGUGACAUGUGAACCCCGGGCAUCUGGCCUUUUCUCAACUUUCAAUAUCUCCUAUGUCAUCUUACAAUUCCAGAGGAACUUUUCCAUUUAUUUUUGUCCAAACACAUCACAAGUAUUCCUAACUCUUUUGAGUUAACUUUCUCCUAUUCUUCUCUACCUAUCUAAAUCCUAACUUUUUGGAAAGGUCUAGCUUAAGCCCUGUCUCCGCCAGGAAGCCUUCACCUACCCCAGCAAUACCCUCGAAGCUCCAUUUCCGGGGCAAUGUAUUAUUAUUUAUCUUUCUAUGUAUGCAAAUGUGCAUUCUCUCCCUGAUAAAACUGGCUAGAAGAUACAAGUUAUGACUCAAUUCUUACAUCCUUGUUACCUAAUAAAACACACAAACCUGACAAAUAUUGGAGGCAACCACUGUGAGACAUCUCGCAUCUAGAGUGUCAUUCUCCAGCAACCUCAAAACUGUAAAGUAAUUCAG